GUAGAGCUGCUUUUACUGGUGCUACUGAA
rnacentral:piRNA from 1 species